rnacentral:rRNA from 1 species
GACGGAGGAUGCAAGCGUUAUCCGGAAUGAUUGGGCGUAAAGCGUCCGCAGGUGGCAGUUCAAGUCUGCUGUCAAAGACCGGGGCUUAACUUCGGAAAGGCAGUGGAAACUGAACAGCUAGAGUAUGGUAGGGGCAGAGGGAAUUCCUGGUGUAGCGGUGAAAUGCGUAGAGAUCAGGAAGAACACCUGAGGCGAAGGCGGGUUGCUGGGCUGAUGACUGACGCUGAGGCGCGAAAGCCAGGGGAGCAAACGGGG